rnacentral:sRNA from 1 species
AUGGACGAGCCGGCGAUUAAACAGUUAAUAGCAAACGAGGUGCAUAACGCUGUCCAGAGUUCUCAGAAUUCCAUGCUUUCCAGAAUCGACAAUCUGAUGAGUAACAAGCUAGGUUCUUUUGAAAGUUCCAUGAAAGAAUCCCAGAGGCAGCUGUCCGAUAGCCAAAUUGCAAAGAUAGAAGAAUUGACAACAGACAAUUACGAGUUCAAACGGAAGGGUAAUAAAGAACAGCACAAGAUCAACACCAAAAUCAUCAAGAAGAUGAAAGAAGCCCAAUCUAACCUUCAAGACAGUCCAAUGCGAAACGAUCAGAUAGAUUCAGCAACCCAAAGAAUUGGUGAAGGUAUUGAUUUGCUAACACAUAGGCAAAAACUUGUGAAGAUGGCUGAUCGAUCAGAAAGCGGGUGGAAGACGGUAGAGGAAUACCAGACGAACAGUCUAGCAGAUAAUUCCGAAGACGAGAAAAGAAUACGCAGAGCUGAUGUUAGAGCUGCACAGAAAAUGAAGGCAGAGAGAAAGACAAAGAAGAGUAGAUUUACCCCCUUUUCGCACCCCACAUCAACCAGAUCGAGUGCACCCAUACCUGUUCAGACAUCAUUACCUGUACACAGACCAGGGAAAUGCUACGAAUGUGGAAAAUCAGGUCAUUGGCGUAAAGAUCACGCUGCAAUGAAGCAGAGCUUUGAUAAGAUAAGUAUUGACUUUGAAUAUUUAUCAGAUUGUCAAGAUUUCGAAGAAUUCGGUAUUUCCGAUUCUGAAAAUAAAAAGUAUGAUUGUUUAAACAAGUCUAGUUUUCUAAACGAAAACAACAUGUCGAUAAGUAAACAAGUAGAUAAUAGAUCGCCGAUAGGCAUGCUUAAAAAGGCUUUUAAUCAUUGGACAAAAUCAGGUGCUAAUGAUCAAGUAUUAGACGUGAUCAAGAACGGGUAUAAACUACCUUUUUACACUGUACCAAGCAUUUGUUUUUUAAAAAACAACAGAUCGGCAUUAGAUAAUCCUGAAUUUGUACAUAGUGAGAUAGAAAAAUUAAUUAGUUUAGGUUGUGUGUCAAAAGUAGAUCUCAUACCAAAAGUAGUAAAUCCUUUGACAGUAGCUAAAAAUAAGGAUAAGUUGAGAUUAGUUUUAGACGCCAGGCAUGUUAAUCCGCACUUGCAUAAAUUUAGAUUUAAGUAUGAAGAUGCAAGUGAUGCAGCAAAUUUGUUUAACAAGCAAGAUUAUCUGUUUUCAUAUGAUUUAAAAUCCGCAUACCAUCAUAUUGAGAUAUUUUCUGAACAUAAAACAUAUCUUGGAUUUGCGUGGGAAAUUUCAGGAAAGAUUUCAUAUUAUGUUUUUAAUGUAUUGCCAUUUGGUAUUUCAACAGCUGGUUACAUUUUCACUAAAGUUACUAGACCGGUAGUACAGUAUUUUAGACAAAAAGGUAUAAAAAUCAUCAUGUAUUUAGAUGAUGGCAUAGGUGGAGGGGAACAUUAUGAGAAAGCAUUAGAAAUAAGUAAUCAAGUGCACACAGAAUUGCAAAUGUUUGGGUUUCUUAUAGCAGAACAAAAAUGCAAUUGGCAACCGUCUCAGACAGUUAAAUGGUUAGGUUUAAUAUGGGACAUGUGUGUUGGUAAGGUUUAUGCGUCACCUGAACGAUUAGAUAAACUGAGAAAUUUUUUAAAACACUUUCUCGAGAAAGUUUCUUCAGGAAACUGCUUCUUUAAAGCGAGGCUAGUGGCUUCAUUGGUAGGUCAGAUAAUUUCUAUGCAAGCAGCUACGGGUAGUGUGGUUAGAUUGAGAACUAGGAGUCUUUAUGAAUGCAUAAUGCAAAAAGCUAGUUGGGAUUCGCCAGUUUUAAUUAAAGAAAUGGCAUUUGAUGAAGUCGUUUUCUGGAAGGAAAACGUUGAGUUCCUCAAUGGUAAGGAACUGUUAGACGAGAAAGUCUGCACCAGUGUGGUGUACACCGAUGCCUCUGGUACAGGCUUCGGUGGGUAUAUAGUAGAGUAUGAAGAAAGCGAAGUAAUAGGUUUAUGGAAACCUGAUGAACAAGUAAAAAGUUCAACUUGGCGUGAACUUGAGGCAGUUUACAGAAUGCUUAUGUCGAAAUUGAACUAUUUGAAGGGUCAAAAAGUUCUAUGGAGAACUGACAAUCAGAACGUUGUACACAUAUUAUGUAAAGGUAGUGUCAAGUCAGAUCUACAAACAAUCGCAAUAAAUAUUGCAGACAUAUGUACAUGUACUAGGGAAAAAAUUCAGUUAAGCCCACAAUGGAUAACUGAUAACGUAAAAGCUGAUUUAUUCAGUAAAACGUCAGAUUGUGAUGACUGGGAAAUCAAAGAAUAUAUUUUCAACCAUUUUGAUAAAAAGUGGGGUAGAUAUUCAAUAGACAGAUUCGCGUCAGAUUACAAUAAAAAAUGCAUACGCUUUAAUUCAAAACAUUGGUGCACAGGUACCGAAGGUAUUGAUGCGUUUAAUUAUACAUGGGCAGGAGAGAACAAUUGGAUUGUUCCACCUCCUAGUUUGAUUGCAAAAUGUAUUUUAAAGAUACUAACAAGAACACGUUACAUGUACAUUAGUAAUUCCCAAAUGGACCUCAGCAGCCUUUUGGCCAAUGUUAGUGACUGAGGGGGGGAAACUGAAAACUUUUAUUGUAGAGUCAGAAAGUUUCUCCUCAAAUCAUAUUUUACGAGGAAGGGAAAAAAACGGUAUUUUUGGUAUGUACAAAUCUGUAUUUGACAUGAUGGCAUUAAAAAUUUGUUUUUAAUUCGUUUAAAAACACAUGUGUAUAGAACAUAACAGCUGUUACAAAUUGGAACAAUUAUUUUAUGCAACGAAAUAGAUAUUUAUUGUUUUAAUUUAUUUUGACAGGGAUUCAACUAGGACAAACAAUAGAAGACGAAAUAUUGGCAGCUGGUGUGACGUCAGAUAACUUUUCAACUUUAGCCGAUCGAAUGGUACAUUUUUUAUUACAUUCUAGAAGUGACAAUACAACUAAAUUAUAUCAUGGUGCUUUUCGGAGAUUCGAGAAAUUCAUCAUUUCUGAAGGCGGAGUGGCAAUUCCAGCAGAACCUAUUCACGUGUCAUUGUAUUUAACCAAACUUUUAGACAGUGGUUCUUCGCACAGUGUUUUACAAACUGCUUUUUAUGCUAUUAAGUGGGCGCAUAAUAUAAACAAUUUCGAUGAUCCGACAGAUAAUAAUUUCGCCAAAAAUUUGUUAGAAUCCUCAAAAAGACAAGAGCAUAGUCCAAAAGUUAAGAAAGAUAUUAUUGACUCAGCUGAUAUAGUUAAGCUUUGUGAAAAGUAUAUUUAUAAUGAGGACAUAGGUGUAAUUAGGGAUUUAGUUAUGAUAGUGCUUGGUUACUCUGGGUUUUUUACGAUUUAGUGAAAUCAGUAAUAUAAAAUACAAAGACGUUAAAUUUUUGUGAAUCACAUAUCGAUAUUACUAUAGAAAAGAGUAAAACCGAUCAAUACAGAUUAGGUGACUCGAUAGUUAUUGCCAAAGGUCAAUCCGCAGCAUGUCCUUUUAUUUUACUAAAAAAGUAUUUAAAUUUAGCUAAGAUUAGUUCGUCAGAUGAAUUCCUAUUCAGACCUAUUUUUAGAUCAGGCAGAUAUUAUAGUUUGAUAUAUAAAAACAAACCACUUAGUUACACUAGGGCUAGAGAAUGUAUUGUCAAUCGUUUGAAAGAAGUUUGUAAAAAUUUGAAUAUUGGUUUGCAUUCACUGAGAGCUAGUGGUGCUACAAAAGCAGCGAAUUCCAAUGUAAGCGACAGGUGUUGGAAACGUCAUGGUCGUUGGAAAAGCGACUCGGCAAAAGACGGGUAUGUCGCUGAUUCAUUAGAACAUAGAUUAGAAGUGACCAAGCAUUUAGGUAUUUGA